GAUGAACGCUGGCGGCGUGCCUAAUACAUGCAAGUCGAGCGAACAGACGAGGAGCUUGCUCCUCUGACGUUAGCGGUGGACGGGUGAGUAACACGUGGAUAACCCAUCUAUAAGACUGGGAUACCUCCGGGAAACCGGAGCUAUUACCGGAUAAUAUAUUUAACCGCAUGGUUCAAUAGUGAAAGACGGUUUUGCUUUCACUUAUAGAUGGAUCCGCGCCGCAUUAUCUAGUUGGUAAGGUAACGGCUUACCAAGGGAACGAUGCGUAGCCGACCUGGGAGGGUGAUCGGCCACACGGGACCUAGAACCCGGUCAAGACUCCUACGGGAGGCAGCAGUAGGGAAUCUUCCGCAAUGGGCGAAGGCUUGACGGAGCAACGCCGCGUGAGGGAUGAAGGUCUUCGGAUCUUAAACCUCUGUUAUUAGGGAAGAACAAAUGUGUGAGUAACGUCGCACGUCUUGACGGUACCUAAUCAGAAAGCCACGGCUAACUACGUG
rnacentral:rRNA from 1 species